GAGCCAUUACACCCCAUUUCACUGUGUCAUUGGUCUCGUAUAUGUCGCCAGCGGUGCGUCCGACCAGCUUCCACGUGGUCUGCUUGACGUCUGGGCGCACAAUCCGUCCAUUGCCGACGUCGCGGACGUGCUCGAGCUCUACAAUGGCGGCAUCCUUCAGCGUUUUGACGAGUAGACGGCGCAUCUUGAAAGUACCCGCCGUACUAGAAGCUGAAGCUUCCCCAAGCUCCCUCAACACAGAUACGAGGGGGCCAGCGUUCCACCAGUUGUGCUGAGUCACGCCUCUUUCAAGCCACAGUACAAGUGGUGAUGUCAACACGUUCCUGGCUUUCACCAGUCACCUAGACGCUGAUCGGCGACUACUUGAAGGACACGAAGCAGCAGCUCCCACCGAGAUCCAGGCCCGCAUCAAGGGUUCCAGCCGAGGUCCUGUACCAAGACACCAUGGCCGAGAAACGUCAAAAAAUUUGUGGACAGCACUAAGCGAGUAAAACGAAGGCAGACAGCAUACGAGGCGCCACUCGCCUCAGUGGCACGUAGUGAGAGAAAGUUGAUUUUAAAGAAAGAAAGAGGAAACGCGAACUCCAAUUGUACUGGUAUAGAGUGUCCUUCAAGCACUGUGAUUUCAUUCAGUAAAACCAGUACAGAGAAACACGGAGUCAAAUUGUACUCGUAGAGUGCUCUUCCAUACCAUUGAUAUUAUUUAAUUAGGGGAUGAAGGAUGAUUGUUACAGCGGAUCAACUGAAGGGCCAGCUACUUUUUUCAUAUAUAUAUACAGAAUCUAGGAAAGUUCCCGAAUUUCACUAUUUUCUCGUCUCUGGGCCUUUUAUUUGUUUUUUUUCUUGUCCACAGAUUUACGAAAGUUGUCAGUACAAGUCUCUGGCUCCUUUAGGAAGAAAUGUUAUCCAGUUGCGUGUCGAUAAACAAGUGCCCCCAAGCAGGUACUCUAAACCCAUGAAGCCACCGUGAGCCACUGACGGAUCUCCAGGGGAGCAAUGCCACCAGUGUUUACUGUUUGAACCUUGCUCAGGAACCUCCACUUACUUGAAGACUAAAGCUUAAGGUAUCACACACAACACAACAC